UGGGGAAUUUUGGGCAAUGGGGGAAACCCUGACCCAGCAACGCCGCGUGAAGGAUGAAGUAUUUCGGUAUGUAAACUUCGAAAGAAUAGGAAGAAUAAAUGACGGUACUAUUUAUAAGGUCCGGCUAACUACGUGCCAGCAGCCGCGGUAAUACGUAGGGACCAAGCGUUGUUCGGAUUUACUGGGCGUAAAGGGCGCGUAGGCGGCAUGACAAGUCACUUGUGAAAUCUCUGGGCUUAACUCGGAACGGUCAGAUGAUACUGCUUUGCUAGAGUGCAGAAGGGGCAAUCGGAAUUCUUGGUGUAGCGGUGAAAUGCGUAGAUAUCAAGAGGAACACCUGAGGUGAAGACGGGUUGCUGGGCUGACACUGACGCUGAGGCGCGAAAGCCAGGGGAGCAAACGGGAUUAGAUACCCCAGUAGUCCCUGAGCGGGCUGGCAAGGCGCAU
rnacentral:rRNA from 1 species